rnacentral:lncRNA from 1 species
CUUAACCCUAGAUAGAUAACCUACGUCGAAACGACGUAAUCGAUUUUGAAAAAUCGUUAUAACUCAUUUGUUUUUCGCGUUAUUAUCCUGCCCGUUCCUGUCAACUCAGUCGGCCGUCGGAGCUUGUAGGACAUACCCAUAUCGCCCCGGCCACGAUAAAAAUUACAUUAUGACGUCACGAAACCGUGCAGACGAUGCAGCAACCUGUCGGUUGUUGCGUGAAACAAGCGAUGAAGAGAUUGAGGUGUCGGACAGUGAAACUGAUGACUGUUUAUUAGAAGAUGAAGUACAAAGUGAUGCAGAAGACUUUGAAGACAGUGCACCAGUGAAGGGAAACACUGAUGCUGAAGACAUGUUUGGAAAUAACCCCGAAAUUUCUGAAAGUGCUUCGCUAACUAUGCCGAGUUGUAUUGUCAUGCCAUAGCGUCAAAUUCUCAGUGGCAAAAGCGAUCAUCCUUGGACGGCGAGUAAGACAGAACACGUGGCAGAGUAUCUGCUGCUGAUAAUAUGAUUUGUAAGAAAGAAAAACCGCUGGGUCGUAGAGAUUUUAUGAAGAAACUCAGCGGUAGCCUGAUGACCCCAUGGAUGUAGACAAGGCGUAAAAUGGUCACUUUGCCGAUAAAUAUCAAAGAAAUAAAUAGUAGUAUACUGCCAAAAAGACCAGCCAAACCUCCCACACAACAUGAAGGUGUACCUGAGCUAAAAAAAGGAAAUAUUGUGCCUUUUGUUCUUCAAAAAUUAGAAGGAUGACAAAGACAAUGUCCGACAGCUGCAAAAAUCUCAUUUGUGGAGAGCUCAAGUCUAGCGCCUGCCCUAAGUGCCUUGCAUGCUAAAAUGAAUAAAAAUUGUGAUUUACUUUAAUUUGUUAUAUACUAGAGAUUAUAAAAAAAUGAUUUUUAAAAGUUUACACAAUAAAUUAUAAGGAUGAUGGAAAGAUUGCUAAACGUUUAUGUUUCGAAAAGUAAAAAUUAUCUUGUUUUGUACUUAAUUUUUUUUUCUUAUAAAAAUAUAAAUAAA